rnacentral:rRNA from 1 species
CUUGGUUGAUCUUGCCAGUUGUCAUAUGCUUCUCUUAAUGAUGAGGCCAUGCAUGUAUAAGUAUGAACUAAUUCAGACUGUGAAACUAUGAAUGGCUCGUUAAAUCAGUUAUGAUUUGUUUGAUGGUAUCUACUACUUGAAUAACCGUAGUAAUUCUAGAGCUAAUACGUGCAACAAAUUCGGCUCGCGGAAGGGAUGCAUUUAUUAGAUAAAAGGUCAAUACGGCUUGUCUCGUUGCUUUGAUGAUUCAUGAUAACUCGACGGAUCGCACGAUUUCGUGCCAGUGAGGUAUCAUUCAAAUUUUUGCCUUAUCAACUUUCGAUGGGAGGAUAAUGGCCUACUAUGUUGGUGAUAGGUGACGGAGAAUUAGGGUUUGAUUCUGGAGAGGGAGCUUAAGAAACGGCUCCCACAUCCAAGGAAGGAGGCAAGCACACAAAUUACCCAAUCCUGACACAGGGAGGUAGUGACAAUAAAUAACAAUACUGGACUCAUUGAGUCUGGGAAUCGGAAUAAGUAUAAUCUAAAUCCCUUAACGAGGAUCCAUUGGAGGGAAAAUCUGGUGCCAGCAGCUGCGGUUAUUCCAGCUCCAAUAGCGUAUAUUUAAGUUGUUGCAGUUAAAAAGCUCGUAGUUGGAUUUUGGGAUGGGUCGACCGGUCCGCCCUUGAUUGUGCACCAAUCGUCUCGUCCCUUCUGCUGGCGAUGUGCUUCUAGCCUUAAUUGGCCCGGUCGUGCCUUCGGUGCUAUUACUUUAAAGAAAUUAGAGUGCUCAAAACAAGACUACGCUCUGGAUAAAUUAGCAUGGGAUAACAUCAUAGGAUUUCGAUCCUAUUAUGUUGGCCUUCGGGAUCGGAAUAAUGAUUAACAUGGAUAGCUAGGGGCAUUCGUAUUUCAUAAUCAGAGGUAAAAUUCUUGGAUUUAUGAAAGAUGAGCAACUGUAAAUGCAUUUGCCAAGGAUGUUUUCAUUAAUCAAGGGCAAAAGUUGGGGGCUCGAAGAUGAUCAGAUGCCGUCCUAGUCUCAACUAUAAACGAUGCUGACCAGGGAUCAGCGAAUGUUUCUUUUAGGACUCUGCUGGCACUUUAUGAGAAAUCAAAGCUUUUGGGUUCCGGGGGGAGUAUGGUUGCAAGAUUGAAACUUAAAGAAAUUGAUGGAAGGUUACCACCACAAGUGGAGCUUGUGGCUUAAUUUGAUUCAACACGGGGAAACUUACCAAGUCCAGACUAAGAGCUCUUUCUUUUUUUUUUUAUCGAUAAAUAAAUAUAUUCUUAGAUGAAAAAGAAUGUACAAUGCUCUGGGUAUAUCCAUUAGCAUUAAGAAGUCAAUCCUAUAUAUCAACAAAAGCCAUUAUCAUGAAGUUUUAAGAGACCAACAUGGCUCAUAAAAAAGCAGAAUCUACAUAUGAAGAUGACAAAAAGCUCCACAAAAUAUCAUCAUGAAUAUAGCCCAUCACAAUUAUCUUAAGUCUAGGAAAGACAUGUGAAGGAUCCUAUAUACUUGAAUUUUGAUGUUUU